rnacentral:rRNA from 1 species
GAUGAACGCUAGCGGCAGGCCUAAUACAUGCAAGUCGAACGGAUAUAUGUUUUUCGGAAUAUAUAUUAGUGGCGCACGGGUGAGUAACACGUACAUAACUUGCCCUCAAGCGGGGGAUAGCCUUGGGAAACUGAGAGUAAUACCCCAUAGAAUUAUUGGACGGCAUCGUUUGAUAAUUAAAACUACGGUGUUUGGGGAUAGAUGUGCGUCUGAUUAGCUAGUUGGUGAGGUAACUGCUCACCAAGGCGACGAUCAGUAGGGGGCGUGAGAGCGUGGCCCCCCANACGGGGUACUGAGACACGGACCCGACUCCUACGGGAGGCAGCAGUAAGGAUAUUGGUCAAUGGAGGGAACUCUGAACCAGCCAUGCCGCGUGAAGGAUGACGGCCCUCUGGGUUGUAAACUUCUUUUGGAUGGGGCGAAAAAACGGGNUUUAUCCUGGACUGACGGUACCAUCAGAAUAAGCACCGGCUAACUCCGUGCCAGCAGCCGCGGUAAAGUAGUCGUG